UGGGGAAUUUUGGACAAUGGGCGCAAGCCUGAUCCAGCCAUGCCGCGUGCAGGAAGAAGGCGUUAUGCGUUGUAAACUGCUUUUUGCCAGGGGAUAAAAAGACCGUGCGCGGUUAAUUGAAGGUACCUGGUGAAUAAGCCACGGCUAACUACGUGCCAGCAGCCGCGGUAAUACGUAGGUGGCAAGCGUUGUCCGGAUUUAUUGGGUUUAAAGGGUGCGUAGGUGGCCCUGUAAGUCAGUGGUGAAAUAUCUCAGCUUAACUGAGAGGGUGCCAUUGAUACUGCAGGGCUUGAGUACAGAUGAGGUAGGCGGAAUUGACGGUGUAGCGGUGAAAU
rnacentral:rRNA from 1 species